UACGUAGGGGGCAAGCGUUGUCCGGAAUUAUUGGGCGUAAAGAGCUCGUAGGCGGUUUGUCGCGUCGGCCGUGAAAACUCGGGGCUUAACCCCGGGCCUGCAGUGGGUACGGGCAGACUAGAGUGCGGUAGGGGAGACUGGAAUUCCUGGUGUAGCGGUGAAAUGCGCAGAUAUCAGGAGGAACAUCGGUGGCGAAGGCGGGUCUCUGGGCCGUAACUGACGCUGAGGAGCGAAAGCGUGGGGAGCGAACAGG
rnacentral:rRNA from 1 species